CUCUAGAUAGCUCAGUUGGAAGAGCAUGAGACUGUAACAGGCUGUUUAGUUAUCUCAGGGUCAUCGGUUCGAUCCCGAUUCUGGAGA